CAGUAGCCGCGGUAAUACGGAGGGAGCUAGCGUUGUUCGGAAUUACUGGGCGUAAAGCGCACGUAGGCGGAUCGAUCAGUCAGGGGUGAAAUCCCAGGGCUCAACCCUGGAACUGCCUUUGAUACUGUCGAUCUGGAGUAUGGAAGAGGUGAGUGGAAUUCCGAGUGUAGAGGUGAAAUUCGUAGAUAUUCGGAAGAACACCAGUGGCGAAGGCGGCUCACUGGACCGGUAUUGACGCUGAGGUGCGAAAGCGUGGGGAGCAAACAGGAUUAGAUACCCGCGUAGUCCCUGUCUCUUAUAC
rnacentral:rRNA from 1 species